AACGAACGCUGGUGGCAUGCCUUAUACAUGCAAGUCGAACGAGAAAGCACUUCGGUGUGAGUACAGUGGCGCACGGGUGAGUAACGCGUAGAUGACGUGCCUUUUAGUGGGGGACAACAUCGGGAAACCGGUGCUAAUACCGCAUAAGUUAAGUGAAAUUGAAAAAGCUUAAGAAAGGGGGCCUUUGGCUCUCGCUGAAAGAUUGGUCUGCGUAGCAUUAGCUUGUUGGUGGGGUAAUGGCCUACCAAGGCGACGAUGCUUAACUGGUCUGAGAGGAUGAUCAGUCACACUGGAACUGAGACACGGUCCAG
rnacentral:rRNA from 1 species